CUCGAAAUAUGGGAGCCUAACAAAUACAGUGAUUUUAUUGAAUAAAUACUCUUACGCCUAGUACAUGAUUCAUAGCAGAUUAAUAGAGGCAAUUAAGUGUAAGAUUAAAUUGCUUAAAACCACUUGCCCUACUAAGCUGAGCCCGGUGCUGAGGACUGUAUCAGCCCCACUAAUUCCCAGCAAUUUUCCUUUGGAAGCAGGUAUUUAAUGAUUUGGAAUAUCAAACCCGUGCUAUCCCAGCCUGGCUGCCUAAUGCCUGUAAUCACGUUAAGGCGCAGCACGAAGCAACUCGCCCGGGGCGCUCCGGUGAGUCACUGGGAGAGGAGAAAGCAGAGCUCCUGCCUGGUGCCUUACAGAGCAGAGCCGGGUCAGUCCGUAGCAGAGCACUCCAUCCCUUGGCUUUCAGGCCAGGAGGUGCCACGUGUCCUCUCGUUCCUCAGCAGUACAUCUAUACCCAGGACUUGUCCUCCAUGAAAGUACGCCAUCCCUUCGCACGCAGAACCCGAGGCGCUUCGAGCACAACAAACACCAGCAAAAAGGGCUGAGGCUGAUGCUCCGCAUCUCCAUCGAGGCAGAGCUCGCACUGCGGGCACUGAGGCGCAGGCUCUGCUCGGCUCCAACGGUGCCGUCAUGCUGCGUUUGCUGGAACGGUCCAGGGCUCAUUUUGGCCAUGGAAGCUGCGGGCAGUCCUCUUCCCCUUGCAAACAUCAGGAGAUCCGCAGUCCACGAGCAAAGCCAGUGAGGUUCUGGACCUGUCGAGAUGACAACGGCGCUCAGCGUCACUGAGGGGGUUUCCCAAGAUGAGCAGAAUCUCAUAAGUGGAGGAUCACACUCAAGGGCCUCUCAGGUCAUCACAGACAUGUAAAUAUUUUGGCAGAGCAACAUGGGAACAUCUUCAGCGUCUCUGAAAGAGCAGUGCAGCGCUGGCACAGCUGCCCAGGGAGGCGGUGCAGUCACCAUCCCUGGAGGUGUUCAAGAACCGUGGUGAUGUGGCACUGAGGGACGUGGUCAGUGGGCACGGUGGGACGGGUUGGUGGUUGGACCUCAUGAUCUUUUCCAACCUUAAUGAUUGUGUGAUUCUAUGGGAACAGCUGAAGCCCAGGAACAGCAAAGGCUCGGGAUAACACCAACCACGGGUCCCACCUGCUGAGAAAAAGCAUCGCCCACAUCCCAGUUCGGGUGCAGCCUCGUGCUGCUGCUGCUAUUAUUAC
ensembl:lncRNA